CCUCUCCGAGCUCCCCGGAGAGCGCCCGUCCGCCUUCCCUGGCGGGUGGGAACCCCGCUCCCUGGGGCUCUCCACGAGGGGGGCCGAGUGCGCUCCGGGCGCCUGGGCACCGCGGCGGGGAGGAGCCCAGCCAGGCGUGCUGCGGGGACAGGUUCGGCGGGCCCCCAGUGUCCAGCUGGGAGAGGUCUGGCGGCCCUUCUGGGGCGGGACCGUGGGGGCGGGCGGGCGCUGUAGGUAAAGAAUUCUGCCCCCAGAACCACAGCUCAGGCCCAGCCCGCCCAGCGAGGAACGGACCCGUCCGCCUGUGGUUCUCGCCAGCCUAACGCCGACGCCACAGGUCCCUGCUGGAUGCCACCCCACCAGGAAGACCUCACCCUGCGUCCCCUCUCUGGGUUAGCCUGAGUAGCAGCAAUCAAAAGGCAAAACAGGCGAAAGUGACCCAGCUCAGUCUGGCAGAGAAUGCAGCACUGGGUCUCCAUAGCCCACCACCUCUCUGGUUCUCCUGGUGUUGCUCCUCUCACUCUGCAUCAGUUCCUGGAGGUCGUCCCAGUUCACAUGGAAUCCCUCCAGUUCAUCAUUCCUUUCAGCACAAUAGUAUUCUGUCACCAACAUGCACUGAAGAGCCAGCUCCCAAACCCCUUCUUUCCUCUCCCUGGCCCCCUAACCCCAGGAGUUCCUGUGCACUCCCUCUACCAUAAAAGUGUAUAAAAAGCCUGCAAGCCCCAAACUCAGAGCUCCAGCCAUUUUUAGAGUACUGAGCCCAAACUGCAGUUUGUUUAAUAAACUCCCUCCUGUGUGUUA